CCCUGCCAUUUGUACACACCGCCCGUCGCUCCUACCGAUUGAAUGAUCCGGUGAAGUCUUCGGACCGUGGUAACGGUGGGUGUUCGCACCCCUGUUGCUGUGGGAAGUUGAUUAAACCUUAUCAUUUA
rnacentral:rRNA from 1 species